rnacentral:lncRNA from 1 species
UUUUUUUUUUUUUUGGUCUUUUCUAGGGCCACACCCCCAGCAUAUAGAGGUGUGGCCCUAAAAAGGAAAAAAAAAAAAAGGUGCUCUAUUAAAAUGAAUGUCAACCUUUAUACAGAGGAAGGAAGACUAAGAAAAGUUUUCUUAGUCACUGAUGAAUAAUUAAUUAUGUUACAACUCAUCUUGAGAGAUGGUACCGGGCGUGGUUUUGAAACAAUAUAAAAAUAACACACAAUCUGGAUUCAAGGUGUGGUGAAUCCAAUGUUUCUCACAUACACACACACACAAACGCCUACUGCCACUCAUUAAACUGUUCUCCUUUGCAGGGAGAAUAGAGUGCAUUUCCCUGAUAGACAACUGGUCAGCUUACUAACUGGAGGAACACUGCCGAUGAUGCUGGCCAGGGUUCAUCUGAAAUUUCUGCACCGUCUCAAACAUACACAGAGAUUAGGGAUGUGACAGCUAAAUGGCUCCUGAUGGAAGAUAUAUGUGUGUAGUUGGUAACUGGUAUGUUUCAAAACAGAUAUACUGAUUUCAGGCCCUGUCCACUUGUUCCCCGAAGUGGACGUGCUGUCUGAAGGGCACUGAGAGGGACACUGAGUGCCUAGACACAGAGACACAACCUCUCACAUCACUCACUCUAGUCACAACUCUGUCUAGAGCUUAACCCCCCCACCCCCACCCCCCGCGCCUUAGCCCCUGCUAUGCACGGAACGUUUGUGUCCCCUCAGAAUUCACACGUCGAAAUCUAACCCCCAAUCCGAUGGUGUCUGGCCGCGAGGCCGCUGGGAAGUAAUUAGGUCAUGAGGGCAGAGCCCCGAAGAACGGGAUCAGUGCCCUUAUAAGCAAAGACUCCAGAGACCACUUCUGCCCUCUGCUCCCUGCCGGGGAGGAUGUCAUGAGAAGUCGGCCGUCUACAAGCCAGGAAAUGCGCUCUCCCCUGACACCUGCCUUGAACUUAGACUCCCCAGCCACCCUGUAUUAGGCAGGGCUUGCCAGAGAAACCAAACCAACAGGAUAUGUUUAUUAUUAUAAUUGGUUCACUCAGUUAUGGAGGCUGAGACGUCUCACUGUCUGCUGCCUGUGACCUGAAAGUCGAUGAUGCCUUCGGUCCAAAUCCAAAGGCCUGAGAAUCAGGGGCAGAUGGGAUAAAUCCUAGUCUGGGUCCAAAACCCAGGAAGGCUGGGGUCUGAGGGCAGGAGAGAGAGGAUGUCUCAGCUCAAGCAGAGGGUGAACUGGCCUCCCUUCGCUUUUUACUCUACCCAGGCUCUCGAAGGAUUGGGGGGCGUCCACCUACAACCAUGAGAAUGAUCCUUUACAGUCUAUUAAUCCAUCUGCGGAUCUCUUUCGGAAACACCCUAGUGGACGCACCCAGAACAGUGUUUCAUUAGCCAUCUGGGCAUCCCUUAUCUCAGUCAAGUAUUAAAUACCAUGAAUAUUUCUUCUAGUCCUCUCCAGAGAGACCCCCCUUUUCUUUAAACCAGGUUAACAGUGCAUUGGGGGAAAGGAAAUAAUCCGACAUUUGGGGGAUUACUGGACACUGACUAACGGAGACUGAUUGCCAGAAGACCCCAAAUAUCACUGUGGAGCUCCAAGCAGAGUUGGAGCUCAUGCAAGUUGAGCGAGCAAUGGGACUUUAGCUUUGGUUCAUCUCCCAGAGGGUCCAGUGACUCCCCGAGCCCAUUCUGUGGUUGUGUCCCCUGUUGCAGGAUGCAUAAUUGGAAUAGACAUACUUAGCUGCCGGGGGAUUUGCACAUUGAUUCCCUGCCUAUGAAGUGGGGACUCUUUGGGUGGAAAAGGCCAUGGGAAAGCCAUCGGAACUGCCUCAACACUACGAAAAUAGUAAAUCUACAGCAACGCUGCAGCCCUGGAGGAAUCGAGGAGAUCAAAGCCACAACCAAGCGCUUAAAAGAUGCAGCCCUGCCGAUGCCCACCACGUCAUCAGUUAACUCCCCUAUCUGGCCUGUGCAGAUGGAAAAUGCCAGUGCAUUACCAUCAGCUAACCAGGCGCCGACUCCAGUUGCAGCUGCUGCGCCAGGUGUGGUUUCACUGCUUGAGCAAAUUAUCACAUCCCC